rfam:Myotis brandtii contig173163, whole genome shotgun sequence.
GCCACCAUGGCUCAGUGGUUGAGCAUUGACCUAGAACCAGGAGGUCAGGGUUUGAGUCCCUGUCAGGGCA